rnacentral:rRNA from 1 species
UAGGCUUGACAUCCCGAUCGUACUCUAUGGAAAAAUAGAGGUCAUCUUGGCUGGAUCGGUGAC